CACAUGCAAGUCGAGGGGUAACAGGGAUUGCUUGCAAUCCGCUGACGACCGGCGCACGGGUGCGUAACGCGUAUGCAACCUACCUUUUACUGGGGGAUAGUCAAGAGAAAUUUUGAAUAAUACCCCAUACGAUCUGAUUCACCCCUGUGAAACAGAAGAAAAUUCCGAUGGUAAAAGAUGGGCAUGCGUCCUAUUAGUUUGUUGGUGAGGUAACGGCUCACCAAGACUACGAUAGGUAGGGGUCCUGAGAGGGAGAUCCCCCACACUGGUACUGAGACACGGACCAGACUCCUACGGGAGGCAGCAGUGAGGAAUAUUGGACAAUGGAGGCAACUCUGAUCCAGCCAUGCCGCGUGCAGGAAGACGGCCCUAUGGGUUGUAAACUGCUUUUAUACAGGAAGAAACGUUAGUACGUGUACUAGCCUGACGGUACUGUAAGAAUAA
rnacentral:rRNA from 1 species